AGAAUCAACGCUGGCGGCGUGCCUAACACAUGCAAGUCGAACGAGAAAGUGGAGCAAUCCAUGAGUAAAGUGGCGACCGGGUGAGUAACACGUGACUAACCUACCUUCGAGUGGGGGAUAACCUCGGGAAAACCGAGGCUAAUACCGCAUAACAUCGCAAGAUCAAAGCAGCAAUGCGCUGGAAGAGGGGGUCGCGGCUGAUUAGCUAGUUGGCGGGGUAACGGCCCACCAAGGCGAAGAUCGGUAGCCGGCCUGAGAGGGCGCACGGCCACACUGGAACUGAAACACGGUCCAGACUCCUACGGGAGGCAGCAGUGGGGAAUUUUGCGCAAUGGGGGAAACCCUGACGCAGCAACGCCGCGUGGAGGAUGAAGCCCCUUGGGGCGUAAACUCCUUUCGACCAAGACGAUAAUGACGGUACUGGUGGAAGAAGCACCGGCUAACUCUGUGCCAGCAGCCGC
rnacentral:rRNA from 1 species